rnacentral:lncRNA from 10 species
CAAAUUUCUCCACUUGCUUGAGAUUAUAUCAUUUCUUUUUCAAUUAUACUAUUAUUUCUGAGAAUGAAAUGGACGAUUACACUUAGAAAAUGAGUAAUAGUGUUUAAUAAGUCAGUGAUUAUAUGUGUGCUCAAAUAAGUGUUAUGUAUCAGCUAGAUACUGAGCUUUGAUAGAAUAAUUUUCUUUUGAUUAUUCAUGAUGUGUCAUCUCUGACCUUGUUUCAGCAAAGUAAACAGCACUCCCCACCCCACCCUCCUUUUUUUACUCAUCUUGGAAAAGGUUAGUCUUUCAGUACACGUUGCUGGUAAGUAGUUUCCAAGUUACGUGUUGUCACUGGGUUGAAGUAUAUUUGUGUGUGUGUGUGUGUGUGUGUGUGUGUGUGUAACCAUAAACUAUAUUCAUAUCUGUUUCAUUUGGAGGAUUUUCUUCUUUGUAAUGUAAAGAAAUUCAAAGUUAUCAAAGUUCCUUAAAUGUGUUAGUUUAGAUUCUUUAUGUGCCUUUCAUGAAAGAUAUGUUUUCAUUAAUUUUACUGGUGGACCUGUAAUAUCCACAUUGUGAAGCUGUGUAUGAAAUUCAACUAUAAUAUGAAUAAAUUUGAAUCAUGAGAAUUA